rnacentral:lncRNA from 1 species
GCCACUGCAAAAAGUUCUGUAAUUUUUGUUCUGUCAUCCAACUGGGUUUUCUUUUCCUUCGCUGUCAGCACCCUUUUCCCUGUUCCUCUUCCCACAGGAGGAUGGCAUUCAGCUGCUUGCCGAAUAGUACAAAGCAUUAUUUCAAUCAGUGCACUCUCCUGUCUAUCUGUUAAAGGCUCUUCUCCAUUGAGAGGUUCCUCCAACAGAAGACUAUUCAUACAUUCCCAGUCUUUCAAGAGAUCUGUUGCACAGUCCCACAUGCUGUCCACUAGAUAAGCAGCAUGUUCAUGCAAUUCACUUUCCAAAAAGAAAAACACUAACGUCUUCACAAGAUUAGCAUUUGGACUUUGUCUUCCCCUCCUUUUAAGUAUUCCAUCAUCUUCAGGAUCUCUGCGGCUGAA